rnacentral:rRNA from 1 species
CGGUGAACACGGAGCUUGCUCUGUGGGAUCAGUGGCGAACGGGUGAGUAACACGUGAGCAACCUGCCCCUGACUCUGGGAUAAGCGCUGGAAACGGCGUCUAAUACUGGAUAUGUGACGUGACCGCAUGGUCUGCGUUUGGAAAGAUUUUUCGGUUGGGGAUGGGCUCGCGGCCUAUCAGCUUGUUGGUGAGGUAAUGGCUCACCAAGGCGUCGACGGGUAGCCGGCCUGAGAGGGUGACCGGCCACACUGGGACUGAGACACGGCCCAGACUCCUACGGGAGGCAGCAGUGGGGAAUAUUGCACAAUGGGCGGAAGCCUGAUGCAGCAACGCCGCGUGAGGGAUGACGGCCUUCGGGUUGUAAACCUCUUUUAGCAGGGAAGAAGCGAAAGUGACGGUACCUGCAGAAAAAGCGCCGGCUAACUACGUGCCAGCAGCCGCGGUAAUACGUAGGGCGCAAGCGUUAUCCGGAAUUAUUGGGCGUAAAGAGCUCGUAGGCGGUUUGUCGCGUCUGCUGUGAAAUCCCGAGGCUCAACCUCGGGCCUGCAGUGGGUACGGGCAGACUAGAGUGCGGUAGGGGAGAUUGGAAUUCCUGGUGUAGCGGUGGAAUGCGCAGAUAUCAGGAGGAACACCGAUGGCGAAGGCAGAUCUCUGGGCCGUAACUGACGCUGAGGAGCGAAAGGGUGGGGAGCAAACAGGCUUAGAUACCCUGGUAGUCCACCCCGUAAACGUUGGGAACUAGUUGUGGGGUCCAUUCCACGGAUUCCGUGACGCAGCUAACGCAUUAAGUU